rnacentral:rRNA from 1 species
CCUACGGGUGGCAGCAGUCGAGAAUCAUUCACAAUGGGGGAAACCCUGAUGGUGCGACGCCGCGUGGGGGAAUGAAGGUCUUCGGAUUGUAAACCCCUGUCAUGUGGGAGCAAAUUAAAAAGAUAGUACCACAAGAGGAAGAGACGGCGAACACUGGGCCAGCAGCCGCGGUAAUACAGAGGUCUCAAGCGUUGUUCGGAAUCACUGGGCGUAACGCGUGCGUAGGCUGUAUCGUAAGUCGUGUGUGAAAGGCGCGGGCUCAACCCGCGGACGGCACAUGAUACUGCGGGACUAGAGUGAUGGAGAGGGAACCGGAAUUCUCGGUGUAGCAGUGAAAUGCGUAGAUAUCGGGAGGAACACUCGUGGCGAAGGCGGGUUCCUGGACAUUAACUGACGCUGAGGCACGAAGGCCAGGGGAGCGAAAGGGAUUAGAUACCCCGGUAGUC